UAGGGAAUAUUAGUAAUGGGCGAAAGCCUGAACUAGCAACACCGCGUGUGCGAAGAAGGCCUUCGGGUUGUAAAGCACUUUUUGAGAGGAUGAGGAAGGACGGUACUCUCAGGAUAAGUCUCGGCUAACUACGUGCCAGCAGCCGCGGUAACACGUAGGAGGCAAACGUUAUCCGGAUUUACUGGGCGUAAAGCGCGUGUAGGUGGUUUGGUAAGUAGAGCGUGAAAGCUCCUGGCUCAACUGGGAGAGGUCGUUCUAAACUGCCGGACUAGAGGAUGGUAGAGGGAGGUGGAAAUCCGGGUGUAGCGGUGGAAUGCGCAGAUAUCCGGAGGAACACCAGUGGCGAAAGCGGCCUCCUGGACCACGCCUGACACUCAGACGCGAAAGCUAGGGUAGCAAACG
rnacentral:rRNA from 1 species